GAUGAACGCUGGCGGCGUGCUUAACACAUGCAAGUCGAACGAUGAAGCCCAGCUUGCUGGGUGGAUUAGUGGCGAACGGGUGAGUAACACGUGAGUAACCUGCCCUUGACUCUGGGAUAAGCCUGGGAAACUGGGUCUAAUACUGGAUAUGACUUCUCAUCGCAUGGUGGGGGGUGGAAAGAUUUAUUGGUCUUGGAUGGACUCGCGGCCUAUCAGCUUGUUGGUGAGGUAAUGGCUCACCAAGGCGACGACGGGUAGCCGGCCUGAGAGGGUGACCGGCCACACUGGGACUGAGACACGGCCCAGACUCCUACGGGAGGCAGCAGUGGGGAAUAUUGCACAAUGGGCGCAAGCCUGAUGCAGCGACGCCGCGUGAGGGACGACGGCCUUCGGGUUGUAAACCUCUUUCAGUAGGGAAGAAGCGAGAGUGACGGUACCUGCAGAAGAAGCGCCGGCUAACUACGUG
rnacentral:rRNA from 1 species